GCCUGCUAAAAAUGGACUGUGUCCAAUGACAAACAGAAGAGAAUACUUUGCACUGCUUUAAUAGAGACUGUAAUAUUGUUAUUUUAUAGAGUUUUAAACAAAACAAAUUUUUGUUUUCUAAUACUCACAGUACUGACUCGGGAUGAGAGAAGGAAAGCGCUGGGUAGAGAAGGGCAGGUCCCUGGCUAGGGCUUCACCUCAGGUCCUGUGCACACGCAUAUAGGGGAGGACAAGCGCUCCUGUUUUCAUGCCCAAGUUUGCAUUUUCCAAGACCACCUGGCCUGCCACGUCCCCUAUCCUGUGCCUGUAAAAACCCCAAGACAGGCAGGCAGGCACAGAAGUGGCUGGACGUCGAGAGGAACACAUUGGCGGAAGAACACACAAGCAGUUGCACACAUUGGCGGAAGAACACACAAGCAGCUGUGCCACACAAGCAGCUGUGCAGACGCACGUUAAGAGGAGCGCACGUUGAGAGGAGCGCACGUACGUUGAGAGGAGCGCACGUACGUUGAGAGGAGCGCACGUACGUUGAGAGGAGCGCACGUACGUUGAGAGGAGCGCACGUACGUUGAGAGGAGCGCACGUACGUUGAGAGGAGCGCACGUACGUUGAGAGGAGCGCACGUACGUUGAGAGGAGCGCACGUACGUUGAGAGGAGCGCACGUACGUUGAGAGGAGCGCACGUACGUUGAGAGGAGCGCACGUACGUUGAGAGGAGCGCACCGGAGAAAGAACACACGAGCUGCGGGACAGUGAGAGGAACACACUGGUAGAAGAGCACACAGGCAGCUGGAUGUCGAGAGGAGCGGAAGAGCACAGCGACAGGCACUGGUGUCGACCAGCGGAACGACGUGGAGUUUGGCCUGGGAGGUCAGAGAAGAAUUUGGCUGCUGGGCAGCCCCACUAUAGGGGAAAACCACCUUCCCACUCCAUUCCCCUUCUGAUCUCCCCAUCCACCUCGCUGAGAGCUACCACAACUCAAUAAAAAACCUAGCACUCGAUCUCCAAGCCCACAUGUGAUCCAAUUUUUCCCGUGCACUAAAGCAAGAACCUGGGAUACAGAAAGCCGUCUGUCCUUGUGAUAAGGCAGAGGGUCUAAUUGAGCUGAUUAACACAAGCCACCUGCGGACAGCUAAGCUGAAAAAGCAUCCUGUAACACACGCCCACUGGGGCCUCAGGAGGUGUAAACAUUCACCCCGAGAGGCUGCAUGGGUCCGCGCCCAUGGUCCCCAUGACUUGCCUGUUUGCCUGCUCUGGCUAAGGGUCUUGACCAGUGGGGCACUGAAGAAGCGAGCCACACCUCCAUCGUACGCCCUGCGAGGAGGGUCUCACUCAGUGACCCAGGCUGAAUGCAGUGGAACAAUCAUGGCUUACUGUAGCCUUGACCUUGAGGGCUUAAGCAAUCCUGCCACCUCAGCCUGCCUAGUACUGGGACUACAAAAUUGCCACAGUCACCUCAACCUUCAGCAACCACCAACUUGAUCAAUCAGCAGCCAAUAACGUGAAGUCAUGACCAUUCACCAGCAAAAAGUUUAUGAUUCACCAAAAUAUUAGAUGAUCAUUAACAUUUUUAGCAAUAAUGUAUUUGUCAUUAAGUGUUAGUGCAUUGGAAAAUCAUUUAAAGAAUGUAUCAGCUAAUUGAAGGCUUAUGGUAAACAAGAUUCCUGCCAGGCUUUGACUACUACCCUUGGCCUUCCUAUACAGGGUUGUAAAGAAUCAUCAUGAUGUAUGUUUGAAAUUAUGUUUAACAGUAUUACAGUCAAUAUAGACUAAAUUUUGAUGCAGUAACAACCUCAGAACUUUUACAAUCAUUGCUGGACUGAGAGAGAAAGAGAGAGUGAACAGGGAAUGUCACAUGAGCAGAGAAUGUCACUAUCUCAACUGUAAAAAACAAACAUUACUUCUACUCACAUUUCAUUGCCCAGAACUAGUCCUAUACCUGUGCCUAACUGGAAAUGAGCACAAACUAUCGUGUCUGUCAUGCUCAAGGAGAGGAAAUUGGUUAUUGGUCAGUGUCAAUAUUGUCCACAAAUGUGAAUUACAUUUUAUAAGGUGUUGACUCUGCCUGUCACCCACAAAAGAGCUUUGAGUACAAUUGGCAAACCGUAUAUGCUAUAUUUUUAAAACAAUAUUUCUCUUCCAUGUGUUAAAUGUAAUAAUUGUUUUAGAUUAUUUAACUUGAUAUAUUACUAAGCUUUUUUUCCCUACUCAAACAAAAAGUACUCUUACAAUCAAAGAAACAUGUUUAUUGUUGUUGUUGAUUUAAUUUUCAAACACAUUUGAAGGACUCAAAACACAACCACUCUUUCAAACCUCAAAUAUCAACUAAGUUAUAAUCAGUAUCUUUUGUAUGGUAAGGCACUAGACCCAGAAUAACAGAAGAAAAACAAUGGAAGAUAAAUUUAAAAGUUAAUGGAAGAAAACAUAAUUAUGGAGAGUUACAACUAUUACAUGUUUACUUUUAAACUGGUAAUUGAUAUCUAAAAUAAGUAAGGGUUUGAUAUGGGAAGAAUAGUAAACGGGAGAUAGGAGCACUAAUUUUAAGACACUUUUUUGACAUCAGUUAGUAAAACAAUUUUGGAAAAAAACAAUGAUCUAUGUUUCUUAAAUCUAAUUAAUUUAUAUUAUUUCAUAUAUAUUUUUUAAAAUGAGCUAUCCUUCAAAAUGCAACCGAUUAGAAUAUUUUACUAUCUUUUCUAUGAAGUUUAAGGUUUAAUAAGCUUUCACUUUAACUUUCUAAUACAAUGGAAUAAUUUCUAUUGUCAUUUUAUUGUGUAAUACUAUUGUAAAGCUUUAAAACAUAAAAAAAUACAAAAACAUAAAAUUUACAUUUUAUAUAAAGAUACAAUUUGUAAAACAAUUUAGAACAUAUUAUUCUAUUACAAUAAAUUAUCCUGCAAACUUUUAGGGUUGUUCUUUGCUUCUAAUAUCCCAUAUGAGAAUUUACUAAUCUUAAGCUGUCAGAUCUUACUUUUCUCACUUCCUUAACCAUAUUUUCUGCCUUCAUCUCACCCUUGCAUUCUCAAGCUUUCUUGACCUAUGGCAAAAUAAAUAUUAAUAUGAAUUCAUAGACAGAUGUAUAUUUAUAGAUCUGUGGAAGAUUAAUAUCUCAUAUCCAUUUUUUGUUGUAUUUAUUUAUGAAUUUAUUUAUUCAUGUGGCCCAGUUUGGCUUUUUGAAAUGAUAGCCUCAUGAAAUGUUUCAUAAUGAUAUCUUUAUUCUGUGACUGGAUUAAAAUUUAUGUUAUUUCUGUAAACUCAGUUUGAAUUACUCCAUCUUUGAUGUCUAUAGUAUGGAAUUAACACAGUGGAGUUUAUGUGCUUCAUGGGACCCUUAAGUGCAAACUUGUAAAAUCUUUCAUUAUUUCAAUAAUUACACAUGAUAAUAAUUUAGAGACAUGAGUGACAUCUAAACUUUGAAAACGGCAUUGUGCUCUUUCUAAAUGUAUUAUGGAGGAUUUCUCUCAUUUUUCUUGUCUUAAUUGUUUAAAUGCAUUUGAGCAAAGUUUCCAUUUACCUUGCUA
rnacentral:lncRNA from 10 species